rnacentral:lncRNA from 1 species
CUGUUGGCAACUUUUUUGCGUGCUAGCAAGAUCGCAUUUUCACACUGUGCAACAAAACAAAAAUAAUUAGCAAAAUUCUUAUUACCGUAUUUUAGGGGACAACUCACUUUUGCUUAGGCAGUUGUGAAAUAUAAUUUAAACAGCUGUUUGCUGAAUAUCGAUAAAAAUAUAAAAGUGAGAUGAAAAUGCAUGUGUGCUUUGAAUAGCAUAACAUACAUUUUUGAAAGGCUUUAGUGGGCCUAUAUAAAUUCACACAAACACCAAUUCACAUGUACUCCAUGGAAGAUGGGGCCAUUUGAGAAUAUACAUAAUAUGUUGCGUCCUGUUGAACGUGCCCCAGAUAAAGGUAGAUGAUGCACCGGUACAUACAUUUCCAAAACAAAUGUGAGAGCCCAAGGGACUACUGUAUAUAAUAAUUGGAAACAUUUCAUAUAUUCAAAAUGUUUCAUUUUCAACAAUAAACAGGCCUUUAUUAACAGAGACCAAAUAUCUUAAGUUAUGCAUGUUCUAUUAUCAUCAUAAGGUCAAGUAUUGCUGAUGUAGAGGGUAUGAUUACUGUCAGGCAGUGUACUUGCCUGUCAGACAAAAAGCGUAUACAGUUGAAGUCAGAAGUUUACCUACACCUUAUCCAAAUACAUUUAAACUCAGUUUUUUCACAAUUCCUGACAUUUAAUCCUAGUAAAAAUGCCCUGUCUUAGGUCAGUUAGGAUCACUUUAUUUUAAGAAUGUGAAAUGUCAGAAUAAUAGUAGAGAGAAUGAUUUAUUUCAGCUUUUAUUUCUUUCAUCACAUUCCUAGUGGGUCAGAAGUUUACAUACACUCAAUUAGUAUUUGGUAGCAUUGUCUUUAAAUUGUUUAACUUGGGUCAAACGUUUCGGGUUGCCUUCCACAAGUUUCCCACAAUAAGUUGGGUGGAUUUUGGCCCAUUCCUUCCUCCUGACAGAGCUGGUGUAACUGAGUCAGGUUUGUGGGCCUCCUUGCUCGCACACGCUUUUUCUGUUCUGCCCAUAACUUUUCUAUAGGAUUGAGGUCAGGGCUUUGUGAUGGCCACUCCAAUACCUUGACUUUGUUGUCCUUAAGCCAUUUUGCCACAACUGUGGAAGUAUGCUUGGGGUCAUUGUCCAUUUGGAAGACCCAUUUACGACCAAGCUUUAACUUCCUGACUGAUGUCUUGAGAUGUUGCCUCAAUAUAUCCACAUAAUUUUCCUCCCUCAUGAUGCCAUCUAUUUUGUUAAGUGCACCAGUCCCUCCUGCAGCAAAGCACCCACACAACAUGAUGGUGCCACCUCCAUGCUUCAUGGUUGGGAUGGUGUUCUUCAGCUUGGAAGCCGAAGUGUGCAUUUCCUCCAAACAUAACGAUGGUCAUUAUGGCCAAGCAGUUCUAUUUUUGUUUCAUCAGACCAGAGGACAUUUCUCCAAAAAGUACAAUCUUUGUCCCCAUGUGCAAUUGCAAACCAUUGUCUGUCUUUUUUAUGGUGGUUUUGGAGCAGUGGCUUCUUCCUUGGUGAGCGGCCUUUCAGGUUAUGUCGAUACAUGACUAGUUUUACUGUAGAUACUUUUGUACCCAUUUCCUCCAGCAUCUUCACAGGGUCCUUUGCUGUUGUUCUGGGAUUGAUUUGCACUUUUCGCACCAAAGUACGUUCACCUCUAGGAGACAGAACGCGUCUCCUUCCUGAGCGGUAUCACGGCUGCGUGGUCCCAUGGUGUUUAUACUGGUACCUUCAGGCGUUUGGUCUGCAAUGUUUUUUCUGAGGUCUUGGUUGAUUUCUUUUGAUUUUCCCAUGAUGUCAAGCAAAGAGGCACUAAGUUUGAAGGUAGGCCUUGAAAUACAAACCACAGGUACACCUCCAAUUGACUCAAAUUAUGUCAAUUAGCCUAUCAGAAGCUUCUAAAGCAAUGACAUCAUUUUCUGGAAUUUUCCAAGGCACAGUCAACUUAGUGUAUGUAAACUUCUGACCCACUGGAAUUGUGAUACAGUGAAUUAUAAGUGAAGUUAUGUCUGUAAACAAUUGUUGGAAAAAUUGUGUCAUACACAAAGUAACCGACUUGCCAAAACUAUAGUUUGUUAAUAAGAAAUUUGUGGAGUGGUUGAAAAACGAGUUUUAAAGACUCCAACCUAAGUGUAUGUAAACUUCCAACUUCAACUGUAUGUCUUGAGAGAGAAAACAAAGAAUGACAAAUGGCACAGAAAACCAGUUAUUGCAGC